UACGGAGGGUGCGAGCGUUGUCCGGAAUCAUUGGGCGUAAGGGGCGCGUAGGUGGCGGGACAAGCGUGCGGUGAAAGCUUGGGGCUCAACCCCGAGUCGGCCGUGCGAACUGUCUUGCUUGAGCACUGUAGAGGCAGGCGGAAUUCCGGGUGUAGCGGUGGAAUGCGUAGAGAUCCGGAAGAACACCGGUGGCGAAGGCGGCCUGCUGGGCAGUAGCUGACACUGAGGCGCGACAGCGUGGGGAGCAAACAGG
rnacentral:rRNA from 1 species